AAAAACCCUAACUUAACAGAAGGCGUUAACCACUAAAGAGCAUGCAUGGAGGGAUAUGAACAAUCAAGAUUCCAUUUUUAUAACUCAAUGCACUUUAAAACGUCCAAAAGGGCAAACGUAUGGUCUAGAGUAGUCCAUACUCACUUAGAACAAGAAUAUGAGACUAAAAGCACAAAACUUCACAUCUAGCAAGAUCUAAGGAGAUAAUCCACAAGCUCAUAACUUUAUACCUUCUGGAGGUUGCUCAAGGGGUGAAAUACUCAUAUCUCAAAGCUUGGUGCUCCUUCCUUGCUAGGCAGUGGCAUAUUUCCUUCCAUAAUGGACACCAAAUCACCAAAAUGAGCUCAAACCACCAUAAAUGGAAAUUAGGGUUUGUAAGGUAUGAAGUGGACAAUGGAGGCUCAUGAGGGGAAGUGGUAUUGGGAGUUAAUGAUGCUUAAAUAGUUUCCAAAAAAUAAAAGUUAGGGUUUGAGUCUCGACCAUGUACGCCUAACUUACACAAGUGUAUGCCUAACGUACACAACAGGGGCGCGUUUCUCACUUAAGGCUCCUUGGGACAAAUUUUGCAAACACCUUCAUAUUAAAGGUUAAAAAAGUAAAUUACCAAGGCCUUCAUUUGACCCAUUAAUCAUAUACAAUCCUGAAAUAAGAACUUCUUGAAAUAGGAUGUCACAUCCACACCUAUCCGUAAUUUCCUCAAGAAUCAUCCCAAAUCCUUUAAGUCACCUCCCUAUAAUGAUACUCCCAAAACUCGCUAAACAAUUCACCAUUCAUACUAAAGCACUUCCUAGGUUCUCCUAAAGUCCCCACCUUACCCUUGCUGAAAAACUUCUACAAAUGUCAGCUAACUACUUCAUGAAUACAAUUACCUGCAACAAAACUUAAAUAAUCUUUCGACUAAAAGACCUAACCCUACAAUGGUUGGAAUCAGACAAGAGCUGCACAAUAGGGCCAAAUCAAUCACUCUAAAAUUAUUUAACCUUUUGCAGCAUGUAACUUAAUGUAUUCACUUAAUUUUUAACUCAUAUCAAUAUGAGCCCUACAAAGCAUAAAGUAAGCAACAUUCGAUCAAAAACUCUAUAGGCAACAAAACAUCAAAAGACAUCUUUCCUAGUAGGCAUUCUAGCAUGCAACACUGAUACAUCCUUAUUCUAACUUCUAACAAGCAAAACAUUCUAUAACACAUAUAACAUAUUAAUAUUAAUAUAUAUAUAUAUANNNNNNNNNNNNNNNNNNNNNNNNNNNNNNNNNNNNUGAGUAUUCUAGGAAUCGCUUACUUGAGCUUGGCUGAUUGCACACAUCACAUCCCUUUCUUUGUAAAAAUCCUUUUAGAAUAUUUUUUUUUCUUUCAAAAUGAUUAUCAAUUCCUCAGUUUGAGUUCAGACACACCUGAGAGUGUGCUCAAAUCCCUCAAACUAAGGCUCUAAUACCAAUUGGUAACGUCCCAAAAAUACCAAUAAAACUUUCAAUCUUUUUAACCAACAAAUUCGUGCAAACAUUUGUUCCAAAUCCAACCAGAGUAACAUGUAUCUUUCAAACAUCAGAGUAAAACAAUAAUAAUCGGUGCGGAAAAAUCCAUCAAGGGAUGUUGUGCAGUCAAGUUGGGCUAUUCCUUUUGGAACUAGAAGUACUGGAAGACAUUUUAAACAUAAACCGUAAGAAUAAAACAUAAUGAGUUCCCCAAAAUACCACAUACCAUACAUAGGAUAUGAAAUGCUAUGAGAUGAACCAUAGUCUUAUUGUCACUAUCAAGCAUGAGCCAAAUCAUGGUAUUUCCUUGUAACUCCAGGAUCCAAACCCUAGUCUUACGUACAAGUGUCAAGAGCAACAUCUUGGUCUUCUAUGUAAGCAUCACAAAUACAACUAGCAUCCUAUGUAUAACUACAAGGAGACAGACCCCUGGUAUUUCAUAUAUAUGCCAACGGCCACACCAUAGUCUUUAAUACAUAUGUCAAUGGCCACACCCUGGUCUUCCAUGCAAGUAUCACAAAGACAACUAGCGUCAUACAUAACAUAGUGAGAAAACUCACCUUAUCGACGUAGUCAACAACUAACAUCUCUUAUAACCAACGAACAUAUGAUAUAUACCUCCUAAUAAACCACACAAGGUAAACCCUGAGUCUACCUUCUAAGACUAGAAAUUUGAAGAAAAGUCAACCCAUGUCAAAAGUCAACGGUCAAGGUCAAAGUCAACAUUUAACAUCACCAUCAGCUGAUACCCACGUUGUGACCAACCCAUGUCCACGUCGUAGCUAACGAAAUCAGUCUUGAUUCAAAACUUCCGGUUAUAAACAAUCAACCACGAGCAAAACCAUUGUGACGUCGUUAUGGUCAUGCCACCACAUCAUGAUAGAAUCCGUCCAAUACAAUCAAUGAGCCUCAUCAUCACGUCGUGACCUCCAUACGGUCAUGUCGUGACUACUGCAUUUGGGGAAACUUAAUGCAUUUAGAUCUUAAUCCUUUAAGCCGCCCAUUCCGACUUUCUAGAGGGACUUAUUACUCCAAAAACAGUCUAAAAAUCGAUGUUUUAUAGACAUGCAUGUCUUGAGCUCACGUUAUGUCAAAAUGAUGAAAAAUGGAACCACAAUCACAUGCAUGGAUUCAAAACUUAGCCAAACUUCUGAUCCAACAUAUAUAACCCUCAAGGGACCUCAAUGACCUAUAAAGUUUCCAACUUUAGGGAAUCCUUCCAUUCAAAUUUCCACAACAUGAAGAAUAAGGGACAAGCAACCUAGAUCUAGAAGCACACAACAUAAAGCUUGGAUCUUGAACACUUACAAUGGUCCAUAAAUGGUUCAAAUGAAAUCUCUAAGCUUGCCAAGAGGUUCUUUAUACCACAAAGGCCUUCUUCUUCCUUCCAAAUGCACCAAACACCAAAGGUAAGCUCAAAAACGGAGAAGAGGGUAUUAAGGUAUCCUUCAGGGUUCUUGAGGGUGACGGAGGUUGGAAAUGAUGCCCUAAUAUGAGGUUAGGGGUUCAAAUAUGGGAGAAACCCUAAAAGAUCAUGUGCUUUGCCUGCAGAUAUCGUCACAUUGUGACCAUACUCUUGUCAUGUCAUGACAACCAUCCGAAAACACAUUCUCAUAUUUGCUAUGUCUUCUUGUCACGUCGUGACAUAUAGUUUUUCCUCAAAAACCAUAUAGUUGACUUCCUUAUGCAAUACACUGAUUCAUUCUGCGAGAUGGGUGUUACAUAAAACAUACCGAACUAAAUUCAUCAAUUCAUGCAAGGAGUCUGAAAUAUCAGAUUUCCCAUUUUAUCCUUUAGUUAUAAAGCACAAUUCAAGGCUUAUAUUACUUAUUCCUUUGAAGAUUAAUACCAUUGACUGAUCGAAUUACGAUCCAAAAGUCAGAAAUAAGAAACAUCCCAAAAUUGGGUGUUACAAUGUGCAGAUGGCGACUACAUAUCUACAUCGUUAUCUUCGUCUCUCUCGUCCUCUCUUUUUGUAACUCCGACAACUCCACGUUGGAGAAGAUGAACCCAUGAAAGUGUGGGUUAGAGACUUAGAGUAAGAGAUCAAGGGUUUGUGGUAGUGGCCCUUAUUUUAUUUAUUAAUAAUAUAAACAAAUUAAAAAUAAAUAAAAAUAAAAUAUAUAAGGGUAAAUUUGUAUGUUUAGGCCUGAUUAAUGAAACCAGGGAUGAAACGUGCAACUUUUAAACAUAUCAGAGAUGGUCAUAAUUAAUUUUUGAAAGUAAAGACUAAACAAGCCUUUUUGCAUACGUACUAGGGGUGAUUUGUGUAAUUACUCCUGUGAUUAUAUGUGUUGUGAUGUAAAGUUCUAACCCAAAAGUUUUAAAUUUACUUUUGAACACUUUUGGUUUUUAUUAAACCAUAUUUUGAGAUGAUAACUAAAUAUUUUAAGUUUCACAACAAUUAUUGUUUGUAAAUGUUAAAGAUUUGGGGCGUUAAAUAAUGACAUGUCACAUUAUAUCAUCUACAUAAGUUAUUUCAAACCAAAUUGCAAAGCCAAGUAUUAACUAUUUGAAAGCCACACAGGAUAAACUUAUUUCAAGUGUUCAAAUGUGAUUGGUAUUAUACUGAUGUUGAUGAUCUUAACCAAAAAUCCUAUUCGAUGCCACUACAGCAUGCCAGAUUCCACGUCAAAAGAUAAGAUUCCAACAAGAUAUUGUAUGUUUGACCUGAUAAGUUAUUUAUUACAAAGCUUUAAAGAUAUUAAACAUUAACUAAUAUAUAAUUAAGCUCGACAUAAAACCAUUAAUAAUUGAUAGAAGUUAAGGCUUUUUAUCCAUAUCUAAUCAAAGCUAAUUUUUAGACAAAAUUGCAAAAAUGCUCCAUAUGGUUUCUCAUUUUAUGUGGUUAAGGUCCAAACGUUAGCAAAGUUGCAAAUUUGGUCAUUUUCAAGAAGUUUUGCUGUGGAUUUGGUCCCUCUUCCGUUAAGUUAACUGGUUGGCUGUUAACUUCUUUAAAAUGACAAUUUUAAUCUUGGGGAUCAUUUUCACAAUUUUGUCUUUUACUAUACUGUAAUGACAAUUUUUAAAUACAUUAUUUUUUUUAUUGAAGUUAUAUAUAUUAAUAAAUACUAAUUUUAAUAUACAAUAUUAUAUAUUAANUUUUUUAUUGAAUUAUUAUAUAUCAAUACAUAUAGUUUUUAAUAUAUAAUAUUUAUAUCAUAAUAAAAAUUAUAUUAUUGGAUUAUUUUUUUAGUUAAUUUUUGUAAUUCUUUUUUUUUUAAUUAUUUUUUUGGAUUAUUACUUUUAAUUUAUUAUUUUAUUAAUAUACUAAAUAUUAUUUUAUUUUAUUAUUAAUUUAUUUUUAAUGUAUAAUAUUAGUUCGUGUUAAUUUUAUUGGUUCCACCACAAAGUCGUGGGAUACACAAAAUCAUCGUCUCUCAUCAUCGAAAUCACUAGGAUCGCUGCCAAACACCUUCAUUGCAGAUAACUUAUAAUAAGAAACCAUAGGGAAAACAUCACCACUAUCACCGGGUCACCACCACCACUUAUAAUUGUUACAUGAGUUUGUUGAGCAUUAUGUUGGAUAUAAAUGAUUUCAUUGGAUUGUGAAGAUGUUGUCGCAGGUGGCUACCAAUGACGCUGGGUGGAACAUGUUGGUAGGGUUUCUGUCGAAUCUCCGAUGAAGGUGUUUGGCGGUGAUCUCGUCGAUUUUUGAUGAUGAGAAGCGGUGAUUUUGCGUAUUUUGGUGACUUUAUGGUGAAACUAAUAAAAUUAAAAAGAACUAAUAGUAUACAUUAAAAAUAAAAUAAUAUUUAUUAUAUGAAAAAAAUAAUAAAUUAAAAAUAGUAAUUCAAUAAUAAUAAAAAAAACAAAAAAGAAAUUACAAAAAAUUCACUAAAAGAAAUUAACAAUCCAACAAUAUAAUAUUUAUUAUGAUAUAAAUAUUACAUAUUAAAAAUAAUAUUUAUUGAUAUAUAAUAAUCCAAUAAAAAAGAAUUACUCCAAAAAAAAGAAAUUAUAAAAAGAAUCAACAAUAAUCCAAUAAACUAAUGUUUUGUAAUAUAUAAUAAUCCCAUUAUAUAAUACUUAUUAUACUAUAAAUAUUAGAUAUUAAAAACUAUAGGUAUCAAUAUGUAAUAAUUCAAUAAAAAGAAUUACUCUAACAAAAAAAAAAUAAGUAAAAUAAAUUUAUAAUUCAAUAAAAAAAGUAUUUUAUUAACAAAUAAUAUUAUAUAUUAAAAACAAUAUUUAUUAAUAUAUAAUACUUCAUUGAAAUUGAAAAGAAUAUAAAAUGGUAUGGUAAAAGACAAAACUAUAAAAAUGAUCAAUUGUCAUUUUGAUGAAGUUAACGGCCGACUAAUUAAAUUUAACGGAAAAGAAACCAAAAUCACAAUAAAACUUGUUAAAAAAGGGACAAAUAUAUAACUUUUAACAACCAUUUGAACCAUAAUCGCAAUGAAAACCCAUUUUUACAAAUUUAUCUAAUUUUUAUGGUGAUUAAUACAAAAUGUAAUAUCAAUCAUCAACGACUGCGAACGAUCACAACACGUGGGAUUGAAAAGGAGAGAAAUAAUGAGAAGGAGAAAAAUGUCAUUUUACAGGACGAAGACGUAUGAGGGAGGGAGUUUAGGUUAAAGACUGAAAUUAAAUGCAAAAGCAAAACGAUGAGAAAAAACAAAAACGGCCGAAACGAGGGAGCCGAGCCGGAGCCGGAGCCGGCAAAGUGGCAAUCACGUCCGGUGUGUCGGGUUUCGUCUAAAUGGGAUUCCACGUGUCCUUCCUAACCCGUUCCCUUGACGGCCGACUUCUCCGUCAACUUAUCCUCCCCUCUCUCCGUUUUUCUCCGUCAACCGAUAAAUUUAUAUAUCUCUAUCGUAAAAAACGCCGGUCAACUACCCUCUCUCUCUUUCUAAAAACCCUACCUUCCCUUCUCUCUCUACAACAAACUUUCCCUUCCUUUCUCUCUCUCUAAAAAUCUUUUAGAUCGGUGAUAUCGUCCGCCGGCCACACGAUUUGUUAGCUUUCAGGGAAAACACAUGGAAGACGACGAAGAAAUCCAGUCACAUCCAUCCGCAGGAUCUGGAUCUCCGAGUUCGCCGCGUUCUAAUCGCCGGAUAACCGUCACGGUGGCUACCGCUGCGCCUCCUCAGAAUACCUUGACGUUAGCGCUACCGAUACAGCAGCCGAGGACCGUCGGCGGCGGCGGUGGAGGUGGCGGUGGUGGUGGUGGAGGAGGAGGAGGUGGAGGAGGUCGGGAGGAUUGUUGGAGCGAAGGUGCAACCGCUGUAUUGAUUGACGCGUGGGGAGAGCGGUACCUGGAGCUGAGCAGGGGGAAUUUGAAGCAGAAGCACUGGAAAGAGGUUGCGGAUAUAGUUAGUAGUCGGGAGGAUUAUUUGAAGGCUCCGAAAACGGAUAUUCAGUGCAAGAAUCGGAUCGACACGGUGAAGAAGAAGUAUAAGCUUGAGAAGGCCAAAAUUGCGUCUGGCGGGGGGCCUAGUACGUGGAGUUUCUAUGAUCGGUUGGACCAGCUCAUCGGCCCUACGGCCACCGCGAAGAGCGGUUCAUCAUUGUUGACUACUCCGCCUUUAAGAGCUGUUCCGAUGGGGAUUCCGGUCGGUGUUAGAUCGGCACCUGUUCAAAGUCUGCGGCUAAAGCAGCAACAAGAGCGACAACAACAGCUACUUCAGCAGCAGCAGCAACAACAACAACAACUUCAACAGCAGCGUAAGCGUCUACGCCCCCCUCCUGCCUAUUCAGACUCAUCUGAAUCAGAACCAGAGGCGUCUCCAGAUUCGCCUGAAUCAGAUUCCUACGAGCAAAAACGCCCAAGAGUUCCACUUCCAUUCAAUGCAAACUCCAACUCCACCACGAGGCAGCAACAACAGGACAGAGGGCGAGGAGUAGGAGGGAGAGAGAAGAAUUGGGGAGAUUCCGUUAGAGAAUUGACCAGGGCGAUAAUGAAAUUUGGGGAAGCUUAUGAGCAGGCUGAGAGCUCCAAGUUGCAGCAGAUGGUGGAGAUGCAGAAGCAAAGCAUGAAAUUUGCAAAGGAGCUUGAAUUGCAAAGGAUGCAGUUCUUCAUGAAGACACAGUUAGAGCUGUCACAGCUGAAGCACAGUAGGAAAGGUGUUGGGAACAACACCACCAAUCAUCAUCAUAGUCAUAAUCAUAAUAACACUCAUAAUCAUCACAACAGUAGUAACCAUAAUACUAUAAACAGCAACAACAACAAUCAUAGUGAUGAUAGCAAUAACUAAAUUAAGGUAUGUAUUCAGAAUCAAUUGGCUUAUUAAUUAAAAGGGGUAAAUGUUAAUGUUGCCCCUCUAGUAGAGGUCAGGGGUGUUUAGGGAGAUGUAUGUAAUUGAAUUUGCUUGUUUUAAAUUUUCCCUUCUAUGUCAAAGAUUUGGAGGUAGGUACAUCAUUCAAUGC
rnacentral:lncRNA from 1 species